rnacentral:lncRNA from 1 species
GGGGUUGCUUCUUCUCGUUGUCGACAACAAGAAAUCCAGGGAAAAGCAACAGCAGCAGAUGGUGGUGAAGAGGUGCUCGGUGCCUGUUGUGGAGUCUGCAAAAGGAGGUGAAAACGAAGGCAGCAGGGGAUUUUAGGUCGUCAACGACACCACCAAGAAACUGAAUUGGUAUGCUCUUGUACUAAUCAUAACAUGUUUUUUUAGUUGUAUCUCCAGUUCUCGACCACCAAGAAACUGAAUUGGUAAGACUCUCACUAAUUUUUUUUUGAAGAAACUGAAGAAGCACACCAAGUGUUUGAUAAAAUGCAUAGUUGAAAUCUAGGUUUUUUUAAUGCAUCUUGAUGUCGAUCAUUCUACUAGAAUGGAAUAUCGAAUUCUAAUUUUGUUAUAAUAGAAUCUUGAAUUUCUUGUCAACUUAAGCAAUGAAUUACCUUAACCAAUUCUGUCAGAAUAAAAUUGGUUUAUAAUCUUGUUAUUGGUCUCGAUUCUUAUAAAAUAACAUUCUAUAUAAUGAAACAUUACAUUCUUUCAUAAUAAUAUACAUUGCAAGUUUAGAGAUGAUUGUUAAUAUUGGUUUGUAGAAAUUAUAGUUAUAUUCUAUUUGAAUAUAUAUCACAUUCUAUUAGAAUUUAUUGUUUUAUUCUAUUUAAUGCACUAAAAAUUUUAAUAUUUGAAAGUUGAUUAUGUUUUCCUUGUGAAUUUAGGUUUUGAAGAGGUUGCCAUUAAUGUGGAAAAUGAAGAAAAUAUGGAGAACGAUAAUAUUCUUUCGGAAUAGAGUAGUGUUUUUGUUAGAUUUUGAUGUUUUUUCUUGUAUUAACCAUUUUUAGUUUUAAUCUUUAAGAAUAAAUGUAAUC